GGAGGACUCCAAUCUCUUCAUCUCAGUGGAGGCUCCUGCACAGUCCCGCUGUGUAGGUAACGAAGAACCUAUGCGGAUGGAAGAGAGCCCACUGUGAGCUGCCUCCACACACACCCACUCUGCAGCUGCGGAAGAAUGACCAGGUAUGUGCCAAAUGCCUGCCUGAUACUCGAGGUGUUGGAAGAGGAUAUCGGAUCCUCUGGAGCAAGAACAGAAAAAUGCUCUGAACAGCUGAGCCAUCUCGCCAGCUUGCAGUGUCUACUUACUCUUUACACCAAGACACGGCUGGAGCUUCCCUUUGUAUCUAACUUGCCGUCUGUAGAUGACUAUUCACCAUGCCUGACAACCUGAGGU